rnacentral:lncRNA from 1 species
AGUCUUCCACUAGCAACAUUUAGAUGAAGAUGUAGAACUCUCAGCUCUGCCUGUGCCACACCUGCCUGGGUGCUGCCAUGCUCCCACCUCGAUGAUAAUGGACUGAACCUCUGAACCUGUAAGCCAGCCCCAAUUAAAUGCUGUUUUUUAUAAGA